UUAAUCUAAUUAUUUUGUUAUUCAGAGGACACGUUUAUGAUGGUUUGAGAGUUCUUCUGGCGGGUUUGACCCCGCCAAAGAAACAAGGUAAUAUAAACAUGGGGUUGAAGAUUGGGCCCGGAGACCCUUUCUCAGUAAUGAUCCUUCCGCAGGUUCACCUACGGAACGCGGGAUUCUUAACCGACUCUGGUUAAGACCGGUCAUAUCUUACCCAUCAAACGGGUACCGCAUUUUGAUCUGUGGGCCAGUCCAGUGUUAGGUCUGGCUGCUGAUUCAACUAUGUGAGUCUCAGCAUUGUAGCGGCAUUGCUUGCAGGGCAAACUGCGCAAUUCUUUAACAGUCGCUGCGGAAGGCUUCAGAGGAUGGACUCCCUGGAAGGAAA
rnacentral:misc_RNA from 1 species